AUUCCUCGCAGACAUCGGACCGCACAGCACCAGGCCAGAACGAGACCGAACGUCGUUUGAGAUUAGCGUUUAGUUUCAUGUGGACAUGUAGGGGCCUUCGACCCCGUGUCCUUUGCAUUUUCCGCAUCUCGAAGCCCGAACGAGAAAUCGUUGGCCAAUGCCUCAAUGCGUCAAGCAUUAGUCGAGGAAAACGAGAUCCGUUGCGAGUUUCACCCUCAACCGCACCGAACGAACGGGCAGCCUAAGGCGAACGGGGGAAGAAUUGGCGACCGAAUUCCGUUAAGGUACGCAACACAGGAAACCGAGAGGAUGGCCAAUAUAUACACAUAUAAUGUGCCAAAAAUGAAGAGGAACGCACGUUAGGACGUCGCCGCACAAGGCCGGGAUCCAACCA
rnacentral:misc_RNA from 1 species